GGCCACGCGGCGGCCAUCCGCCGCAUCCCCGGCGCAUAUUAGGUCACCCUCGACACCCCCCGGAACGCUAGCCCCCUCAUUUUCUUCCUCCUUGAGCCGUUCCACUCGAUUUGCUCGAUCUCGAACGCCAUCGCCACCACUGCCUCGUCGUCGUCGUGGCCAACGGCCUCCUUGCCGACCAGGAAGAGGCCAAGAGAAGCGCUGUCGUCGCCUUCGUCGACUACACCACCGGAUCGGGGCGGAGGAGCUGCAGCAACGGCGCCCGCGCCCGUCCCCCUCGCCGGAAUCUGCCUCGACCGCGGUCUCGAUCCGCCGUCGACCGAGCCUCACCGGCCCCCUCGACCUCCUCCGGCUGCCCCGAGUCGCUCCUCGUCACCGAUACUACGAGACUGACGCCGCUGCUGCCCCGAUCGACUACGUUGUUGACGAACCCUUCUUGCCAGAGCAACCAG
rnacentral:rRNA from 1 species